rnacentral:rRNA from 1 species
UAGGGAAUCUUCCGCAAUGGACGAAAGUCUGACGGAGCAACGCCGCGUGAGUGAUGAAGGCUUUCGGGUCGUAAAACUCUGUUGUUAGGGAAGAACAAGUACGAGAGUAACUGCUCGUACCUUGACGGUACCUAACCAGAAAGCCACGGCUAACUACGUGCCAGCAGCCGCGGUAAUACGUAGGUGGCAAGCGUUAUCCGGAAUUAUUGGGCGUAAAGCGCGCGCAGGCGGUUUCUUAAGUCUGAUGUGAAAGCCCACGGCUCAACCGUGGAGGGUCAUUGGAAACUGGGGAACUUGAGUGCAGAAGAGAAAAGCGGAAUUCCACGUGUAACGGUGAAAUGCGUAGAGAUGUGGAGGAACACCAGUGGCGAAGGCGGCUUUUUGGUCUGUAACUGACGCUGAGGCGCGAAAGCGUGGGGAGCAAACAGG